ACGAAUAAUAUAAACAGAUAAUUAUUAAAUUGUUGAAUCAAAGAAACCAAUAUUUAUUUUAAAAAAGUUGCGUAUUUUCAACUUGUUACAAAAACUUAUUAAAAGCAUAAUAAUAAAUUGAAUAACAGAUAUAUGAUUCUAACGUAUAAAGUAUUGUAAUAAUUAAAAUAAACGUUUUUUGUAUAUAUACAUAUAUACAUAAUAAACAAGGUUAAUGUAAGAUAUUCUUCAAAAUAAAUCUGCCCAUUACAUGUUAAUAUAAUAUUGUAUCUAUAUACAUAUAUAUUAAGGAAAGUAAUACAAUACUGUAGUUAUCAAAUGCUUGUUUUUAUUUUGUUAUAAAGAAGAGUAUUAUCAAAUAUUAAAUGAAUACGAAAUGAUAUUGGGAUAAUGAUUUUCAAACAACUACAACAAUCUGAAUUUGUCAGUUGUAAAACAAAUUUAUAUACCUCAAUGAAAAAAAUACCCAAAAAGGUAAGAAACAAUGUAAGGUUUCGAAUAGCAUUACAAACUAAUAAUAACUUCUCCCCAAACAAAGAAAAAGGAAAAAAGAUGUAAUUAUUUGUAUUACUAUUGACAAAAAUUCAAUAUGUGUGAUAUUGUCAGAAAUCUUAAUUAACGUAAUCCGUAAUUACAUAAAUUUUAAUUGAAAUCAUUUUCAAAAUAAUCAUAAUUAAAAUACUAAAAAAAAAACAACGAAAAGAAAAGGAGAAAAAAGGGAAAACCCACAAAAAAACAAACAUGCUUGAAGGAGAAAAGAUUGGCAUUGUAUAUUAUUAUAAAAAAAAGAAACGACCACAAAAGAAGCUGGAUUUAUGAUUUCUAAAGGUAAAGUAUAUGAAAAAAGGA